rnacentral:rRNA from 1 species
GAUGAACGCUAGCGACAGGCCUAACACAUGCAAGUCGAGGGGCAGCACGGGAGUAGCAAUACAACUGGUGGCGACCGGCGCACGGGUGAGUAACACGUAUGCAACCUACCUGUAAGAGGGGAAUAACCCGGAGAAAUCCGGACUAAUACCGCAUAAUACUGAUUUUUCUGCAUGGAAUAUUAGUUAAACAUUUAUGGCUUACAGAUGGGCAUGCGUAUGAUUAGUUAGUUGGUGAGGUAACGGCUCACCAAGACAUCGAUCAUUAGGGGUUCUGAGAGGAAGGUCCCCCACACUGGUACUGAGACACGGACCAGACUCCUACGGGAGGCAGCAGUGAGGAAUAUUGGUCAAUGGGCGAGAGCCUGAACCAGCCAAGUCGCGUGAAGGAAGACGGUUCUAUGGAUUGUAAACUUCUUUUGAAGGGAAUAAAGUGCACUACGUGUAGUGUUUUGUAUGUACUUUACGAAUAAGGAUCGGCUAACUCCGUGCCAGCAGCCGA